AAAAACAGAAAAUGUCGGCUUUCAAGAGCAAAUACCAGGACGAGCUUAUUGCUAAUGCUGCAUACAUUGGUACUCCUGGGAAGGGUAUCCUUGCUGCUGAUGAGUCAACUGGUACCAUUGGCAAGCGUCUUUCUAGCAUUAAUGUCGAGAAUGUUGAGGAGAACAGGCGUGCUCUCCGAGAGCUUCUGUUCUUUUUGAGGAGACCCUCUAUCAGAAGACAGCUUCCGGUAAGCCCUUUGUUGAGCUUUUGAAGGAAGGUGGAGUUCUCCCUGGUAUCAAGGUCGACAAGGGCACUGUUGAGCUUCCUGGUACCAAUGGUGAGACCACCACCCAGGGUCUUGAUGGCCUUGCACAGCGUUGGCAGAAGUACUAUGAAGCUGGUGCUCGAUUUGCCAAAUGGUGUGCUGUGCUCAAGAUUGGCGCAACUGAGCCAUCGCAGCUGGCCAUCAACGAUAAUGCCAAUGGUUUGGCCCGAUAUGCUAUCAUCUGCCAGGAAAAUGGCUUGGUCCCCAUAGUUGAGCCAGAGAUUCUGGUUGAUGGACCCCAUGAUAUUGAGAAGUGUGCUGAUGUGACUGAACGCGUGCUUGCUGCUGUUUACAAAGCUCUAAAUGAUCACCAUGUCCUGCUUGAGGGAACUUUGUUGAAGCCCAACAUGGUGACCCCAGGAUCUGAGGCACCAAAGGUUGCACCAGAGGUGAUUGCUAAGUACACUGUUACGGCACUACAGCGAACUAUGCCUCCUGCAGUUCCUGCAGUUGUUUUCUUGUCUGGUGGUCAGAGGGAGGAGGAGGCAACCCUCAACCUAAAUGCAAUGAACAAAUACAAGGGAAAGAAGCCAUGGAGUCUUUCAUUCUCCUUUGGGCGGGCCCUUCAGCAGAGCACUCUCAAGACUUGGGCUGGAAAGCCGGAAAAUUUUGAGAAGGCUCAGGCUGCUUUCCUUUCCAGGGCCAAGGUAAACUCAGAGGCAACCCUGGGAAUUUACAAGGGCGAUGCAAAACUCAGUGAGGGUGCCUCGGAGAGCCUUCACGUGAAGGACUAUAAGUACUGAUGAAGUUAAGCAUCUGGUGGUUUGCGUUUUCUUUUGGAGAGUUGAUGCGGUAUGUUUUGGGUUUGUUCUAUUCUCAGCAUAGGUUAGGGCACCUUUCCAAUGUUCUUUGUUAUCUCAGCCCUAAUAGAGGAUGGUGGUAGCAUAAUAAAAGCUUGAGGAGCAUUCGCUUGGUGA